ACACAGCGACGCUCCCCGGAUGUCUUUUUUCGCUUUUAGGCUGGCAGACGAUCCCAAAAGUUUCUGAUGAAAUCUCACUCUCGACGGACGGCAACGACUCUUUCGGUGAAACUUUGCUCUAGAAGGCUUCUCCAGUCAGUAUUCUGUCAGAAAGAACUGUAUUGUUUUGUAGACGACACAAAAACUAACACCUAGUCUUGUGGUGUGGGAUUUUUUUUUUUUUUUUAGUAAAUCGCCGUUGCUCGGGGGCCCGGCCGUUGCCUCGCUGCUAACCUGCUAACGUGCAACGCAGGACAGCUAGCUGCCCGCUUUCUGGAAGAAAAAGUACAUCACAAUGGCUCGAUUUUUGUCGUCAAAGUUAAGUGUGCUCCGUCUAUCUACGCUGUCCAGCUCCCCCAACGUCUUCUCCAAGUUGUCGGCUAGAAAGAAGUCCAAUCACCGCUCACAGCGAACCGCGGCGGAGCUCGGCUGGGAAAGCGACGACAUUUCUUGGGUUCCUCUCUGUUCCGAUGGCCGUUGUGCUGUCCAGUCAGUGUAAGGACAAUGUCUCCGUGGACAGUCUAGACUUUAUUUUUCCUCUCAAGAAGACGUUUUGGUGCUGCUGCAGCCUGCUUUCGAAUGACAGCUGUCGCAUUAGCCGCUAACCUGCUAUAGCUCACGUUUUCUUGAAACCGACGGAAGUUCCGUGUUGUAUGUGGAGAUCAUCUCAGUUUGGCACCUUGUAGUUUGUAGAAGAUGUUUGGAAACAGGGCUAACGAGGGACAGUUACCGUGCGGGCAGAGCUUGUCCUCUCCUGCCGGCCUCAGCGUGGCCUCCGCCGGCCUCGAGAGUCAGGAAAGUCCGUGGAUCGGCCUGCUUUCCGUGCUGUCCAGGCCCGCGCUAUCAUUUCUGCACAAAUAUCUACCGGGUUUCACCCGAAUCCCCUCGCUGGCCGACGGCAGCAAUAUGAACAGUUGUCUGGUUGAUGAGCAGGGGGCGCUUCUAGGACAGCUGGUGAUGCCGCUCAGUCAGCACCCAGUUUGUCCUGCCGGUCUGCUGGAGCCCAGGACCGCUACCACUUUGUCCUGGCUGAGCGGCGAAUCACUUCGUGAAGUCGACAUUCACCUCAGCCACCAACCCGAGGCCACACACAAGUGUUCUUCUGGAAACCACUCCUUGUCCAGUCAGGACAUGAAACCUGGCGCAGGGACGGACUGGUUGCGGAGCAGAACAUGGUGGAGCAGCUUCUUUGGAGGCGACAUGACCCAUGCAGUAUUGUUAUCCCAUUUGUCCCGGGCUGAAUUGGGGACAGCCCACGUUAGUCCACAGCGAACCACACUGGACACAAAAGAAUCACAUGGCAUGUUGUUGCUAGACGAAAACGCUGGAGUCCACACAGAGGACACUGCUAACAAUGACCGAGUCCAGAACAGAGGCUGGUCUGCAGUAGACCACCAGGUCAGCAUCGGUGCUGCUUGCUGUGUGGCGGGCCUGCUAGCUCGGGAUCAGGACAAUGGUUAUUCCAGCUUGGAGGAGGAGCACGCACAUGUGUUGUUGACCACGCACGCACCAGCAGGACCCUCUGACACGACGGAGGAGGCGGAGUCUGAAGAAAACGUGACACAGGGUGAGAAAGAAGGAAGUGAGCCUGCAGUGACACCCCACCAUUGCCAAAACAAGAGCAUCGCCUUCAUCAUGGGCUGCCCAUGCAGUGACGACGACGUCAGCAGCCAAUCAGAUGAUGACGACGACGACGGCUUUGACAGUGAGGGCUCGUCUGGUCUCUCGGACUCCACCGAUGAGGACGACGAAGCCUCAGACUCGGACGGUCCACUCGAUCCGGAGGCGGAGCGUCUCUUGACUUCCUUGUGUCGGAGUCGCGACCCCUACAACCUCCGAAACUUCACUGCCCCCCUGCACACGGGCCGCACGCCACCACACUCCCUUCCCGCCACCUCGCCUCCUUCCUCCACUCAGUCCACCCCGGCCUCCUCCCCCAACCUCACCCCUGCUGCCGCUCUCUCUCUUGCAUCCUCCCCGCCAUCGGGACACGACACUUGGGACGACUCGACAUCGGCCAGUGAGGUGGACGAGGCAGAAAGCCUCCGCCUGCUCAGCUCCUUUGCCUCAUCAGACCCCUACAGCCUCUUCAACUUCCAGGCCCCCAUUGGGACCGCAGGUUCUGCUCAGGGCAGGACAGCCUCAAAGGCGCCCACUCGGCUCCCACGUCGUAAGGCGCAGUCGCCACCUGCGUCCAGGAAGGAGGAGAACGUGGAGAAACUGGACAGCAGUUUGUCAGAACUGUCCACCUCCUCUGGUCUGACCCUCAGAACUGCCAAAAAGGUGCGGUUCUCUGACCGCGUGGAGGAGUUCUUUGCCAGCUGUGGCGAGGAGGAAGAGGACCGCAAGGGUCCGUGGGAGGAGCUGGCCCGGGACCGCUGUCGUUUCCUGCGGCGAUGCCAGGAGGUGGAGCUUAGCAUCGCCUACUGCCUGCAGCCUCGGCACCGCCGCUUGGCGUACCGCCGCCUCGCCACCCAGGAUGCGUGAGGACGCACGCGGCUCACAAGCUUGUUUGCCAACUUCCAUUGCGCCUCAACGACCUUUUGAACUGUGCAUGUGGCAGCACGUUAGCACCUUGGCUGGCCCCCCCUCUUCCCCACCGCUGAGGACCCACCUGAUGAUCAUUUCUCAUUCACUUCAACUUUGACCUUUUUUCUCUUUGUUUCUCGAACCCCAAAGUGGAUGUCCAGCGUGGGGGUGGGGGGAAGGGGGUUGGGCCUGCUCGGUCAUAUGACUCAAAGGUCAUUUAUAGUAUUGAAAUAGUAUUAAAACAUAAGAUGUUUCUAUUUUACAUACAGUGUAUAUGUCUACAUAUAUACUGUGGGUAUGUAUAUGUAAACAUAUUUUUAAAGUGAUUCAGCUUGAAAGUGUGGCUGUCAGCUGCUAACCUUUGACCCUGUGUACCAUUUGGUUUGCGUGUCAGACAGAAAGCGAAGUAGACAGGAAGUAAGACUUCAAGUGACUUUCAAAGGACAAGGACUCCAAUGUUAAUCCAAAAUGCUUUUAUUUUUCAUGAAACCCUCAACCGUGACGUCGCUCCUUCUCAGUAUGUCAGCCAAUAGAAGUUCAGCAGCAGGUGAUCCAGGUAAAACUACUUACUGUAUGUAAUGUUCUUCUACCAACUCCCACACGUUUGUUUGAUUUAUUUAGUCAACACUAGGCAGGUCAAAGUCUCUUGUUGGGAUCCUGUGGACUCGUUUUCUAGCACCACCAGCAGGUCUCGCAGGUACUUGAUGUAGCUGAUGGCAGCUCGCAGCGUCUCCACUUUGGUGAGCCUCCUGGUGGCGCUGUAGGCUGGCAGGUGUUGCCUCAGCCUGGCGUAGCCCGCAUUCACGCACUUCACCCUGCUCCGCUCUCGCUCGUUGCGCCUCUGGACAAAGGCGGGAUCCGUGGGACAGCCCAGGACCUCCAGAGGACACCUGAGGACUCCAAGGUGCUGGUGGGGGCUGCUCAAGAAGGGCAAGAGUACACGGGGUGGGUCCUUCAGGGGUCCUUUGGCGAAGUCCAUGCUUGCUGGGUGAUGGAUA